GCCACCUUAGCUCAGUUGGCUAGAGCAACCGCCUUGUAAGCGGUAGGUCAUCAGUUCGAAUCUGAUAGGUGGCUCCA
rnacentral:tRNA from 1 species